GACGAACGCUGGCGGCGUGCUUAACACAUGCAAGUCGAGCGGUAAGGCCUCUUCGGGGGUACACGAGCGGCGAACGGGUGAGUAACACGUGGGUGACCUGCCCUCAGCUCUGGGAUAAGCCUGGGAAACUGGGUCUAAUACCGGAUAUGACCUUUCCUCGCAUGGGGUUUGGUGGAAAGUUUUUUCGGCUGGGGAUGGGCCCGCGGCCUAUCAGCUUGUUGGUGGGGUGAUGGCCUACCAAGGCGACGACGGGUAGCCGGCCUGGGAGGGCGACCGGCCACACUGGGACUGAGACACGGCCCAGACUCCUACGGGAGGAAGCAGUGGGGAAUAUUGCGGAAUGGGCGGAAGCCUGACGCAGCGACGCCGCGUGGGGGAGGACGGCCUUCGGGUUGUAAACCUCUUUCGACCCCGACGAAUUUGGACGGUAGGGGUAGAAGAAGCACCGGCCAACUACGUG
rnacentral:rRNA from 1 species